GGAAGAGAGGGAGGAGAGGGAGGAGAGGGAAGAGAGGGAGUAGAGGGAGUAGAGGGAGGAGAGGGAGGAGAGGGAAGAGAGGGAGGAGAGGGAGUAGAGGGAGUAGAGGGAGGAGAGGGAAGAGAGGGAGGAGAGGGAAGAGAGGGAAGAGAGGGAGGAGAGGGAAGAGAAUAAGGAGGAGAGAAGCCGAUGCUCUUGCUAUACUCCAGGGGAUGAAGAGCCUGUCUGUCCUGCCUCUCUCUCCACCCAGACAUGACUGGGGAUUGAUUUAGGUCAGCAAGUCUGGGGCUCUGCUGCACUCUGUCUCCACUCCCCAUUCAUUCGCUCAUCUGAAAAGGUCGACGAUGGUGAUCGUCGCAGGGACUUGCCAGAUGGGUGGUAGCAACAGUGCCGUGGUCUAGCCAGAGCCCAAAAUGAGAGGAUAGGAUGCCAGGACGCCGGGCCCGAGUUGAUUGGCACCUGAACGACGAAAGAGGAGUAGCACCGGGUAUGUCCUCCCAGGAACACGAAGGGGAGACGACACAUCGGGUAUGUCCUCCCAGGAACACGAAGGGGAGACGACACAUCGGGUAUGUCCUCCCAGGAACACGAAGGGGAGACGACACAUCAGGUAUGUCCUCCCAGGAACACGAAGGGGAGACGACACAUCGGGUAUGUCCUCCCAGGAACACGAAGGGAAGACGACACAUCAGAUAUGUCCUCCCAGGAACACGAAGGGGAGACGACACAUCGGGUAUGUCCUCCCAGGAACAUGAAGGGAAGACGACGAGUAAAAUAACAUUUUGGAUUUACGAGAGUCCGCAGAAAAGAAGUGGAGUCGGUUCACUUUGGCUUUUUCUCCCCCUUCUUCCUCUCUUCCUCCCAGCGUCUGUCUGGCUUGGUGCACUGCGACUGGGAAACUGUAGUUGGUAGCACACAGAGCUCUCUCCCUCUCUGCCAGUGGCAAACUGAGGAAGGCAGGCAGCGGCAGCUUCGUGACACAGCAAUCAGCUGACAUGGUGCUAUCCCUCAAUGUCCUGAGCAAGCUGGG
ensembl:lncRNA